AGAUGAUGUUCUUCCUGAUGGCUUUCACGUCAAGAAAGGGGAUGGGGUUUAUUAUAUGUCCUAUGCAAUGGGGAGGAUGCCUUACGUUUGGGGGAAUGAUGCUCAGGAUUUCCGACCUGAAAGAUGGUUGAAAGAUGGGAUUUUCCAGCCAGAGUCACCAUUCAAAUUCAUAACAUUCCAUGCUGGUCCAAGAUUGUGUCUAGGCAAAGAUUUUGCUUAUCGACAAAUGAAGAUAUUAUCAAUGGCUCUUCUCCAUUUCUU
rnacentral:misc_RNA from 1 species